AGAGUUUGAUCCUGGCUCAGGACGAACGCUGGCGGCGUGCUUAACACAUGCAAGUCGAACGGAAAGGCCCUGCUUGCAGGGUGCUCGAGUGGCGAACGGGUGAGUAACACGUGGGUGAUCUGCCCUGCACUUCGGGAUAAGCUUGGGAAACUGGGUCUAAUACCGGAUAGGACUACGGCAUGCAUGUGCUGUGGUGGAAAGUUUGUAACGGUGUGGGAUGGGCCCGCGGCCUAUCAGCUUGUUGGUGGGGUGAUGGCCUACCAAGGCGACGACGGGUAGCCGGCCUGAGAGGGUGUCCGGCCACACUGGGACUGAGAUACGGCCCAGACUCCUACGGGAGGCAGCAGUGGGGAAUAUUGCACAAUGGGCGCAAGCCUGAUGCAGCGACGCCGCGUGGGGGAUGACGGCCUUCGGGGUUGUAAACCUCUUUCACCAUCGACGAAGGCCCGCUUUGGGUGGGUUGACGGUAGGUGGAGAAGAAGCACCGGCCAACUACGUGCCAGCAGCCGCGGUAAUACGUAGGGUGCGAGCGUUGUCCGGAAUUACUGGGCGUAAAGAGCUCGUAGGUGGUUUGUCGCGUUGUUCGUGAAAUUCCCUGGCUUAACUGGGGGCGUGCGGGCGAUACGGGCAGACUGGAGUACUGCAGGGGAGACUGGAAUUCCUGGUGUAGCGGUGGAAUGCGCAGAUAUCAGGAGGAACACCGGUGGCGAAGGCGGGUCUCUGGGCAGUAACUGACGCUGAGGAGCGAAAGCGUGGGGAGCGAACAGGAUUAGAUACCCCGGUAGUCC
rnacentral:rRNA from 1 species